rnacentral:rRNA from 1 species
CCUACGGGUGGCAGCAGUGAGGAAUAUUGGUCAAUGGACGAAAGCCUGAACCAGCCAAGUAGCGUGAAGGAUGACUGCCCUAUGGGUUGUAAACUUCUUUUAUAUGGGAAUAAAAUCUUCUACGUGUGGGCUUUCGUAUGUACCAUAUGAAUAAGGAUCGGCCAACCUCGGUCCAGGAGCCGCGGUAAUACGGUGGAUCGGGAGGUUUCUCCGAAUUUUUUGGGUUAAAGGGUGGCUAGGUGGAUUUGUAAGUUCGUUGUGAAAGUUUGGGGCUCAACCGUAACAUUGCAGUUGAAACUGGCAGUCUUGAGUACAGUAGAGGUAGGCGGAAUGCGUGGUGUAGCGGUGAAAUGCUUAGAUAUCACGAAGAACUCCGAUUGCGAAGGCAGUUCACUGGACUGCAACUGACACUGAGGCUCGAAAGUGUGGGUAUCAAACAGGAUUAGAUACCCGGGUAGUC